rnacentral:rRNA from 1 species
UACGGGGGGGGGCAAGCGUUGUUCGGAAUUACUGGGCGUAAAGGGCUCGUAGGCGGCCAACUAAGUCAGACGUGAAAUCCCUCGGCUUAACCGGGGAACUGCAUCUGAUACUGGAUGGCUUGAGUUCGGGAGAGGGAUGCGGAAUUCCAGGUGUAGCGGUGAAAUGCGUAGAUAUCUGGAGGAACACCGGUGGCGAAGGCGGCGAUCCUGGACCGACACUGAUGCUGAGGAGCGAAAGCCAGGGGAGCAAACGGG